rnacentral:rRNA from 1 species
AGGAUGAACGCUGGCGGUAUGCUUUACACAUGCAAGUCGUACGAGAGUUUUUAACUCAAGUGGCGGACGGGUGAGUAACACGUAAGAAUUUGCCUUUAGGAGGGGGAUAACAACUGGAAACGGUUGCUAAUACCCCAUAUGCUUUCGAGUAAAAUGGAUUUUUCCGCCUAAAGAGAAGCUUGCGGCUGAUUAGCUUGUUGGUGAGGUAAUGGCUUACCAAGGCGACGAUCAGUAUCUGGUUUGAGAGGACGAUCAGACACACUGGAACUGAGACACGGUCCAGACUCCUACGGGAGGCAGCAGUGGGGAAUUUUCCGCAAUGGGCGAAAGCCUGACGGAGCAAUACCGCGUGAGGGAUGACGGCCUAUGGGUUGUAAACCUCUUUUUUCAGGAGGAAUCAAUGACGUGUACCUGAAGAAUAAGCAUCGUCUAACUCCGUGCCAGCAGGCCGC